CAUAAUCAUUCCAUUAGUUUAGCAUCAGGCACUGCUCCCUGGAAGCCAGGGUCACCUUCCCUUCAUGAUUUAGUCACACCUACAUGCUCCCUACCACUACAGUCCCUCUGGAGGUCUAGCUGUGACUCCCACUCUGUCCUAGCCUGAACCAUCUACCCUGCAGUUCAUUUCUACAGAACCCCUUGCCCUGGUACACUAAGCCCCUCUAGCCCAAGUCCCCAGCACACCUCAGCUACAUUUGGGUCCAAUUCAUGCCUCUAUAAGCAAGGGCAUCUCCAGAAAGCUACGACUUAAGGCUGCUCCUCUGUCUCACAACACUGAGCUACUAAGCUGACAUUGCCUUUCCAAAGUUUGAUGUAGGAGCAGCCCUUGAGACUUUCUUCUUUCAGAGAGUGAGGAAGGAACCCCCUCAUUUACUGGUGUUCCCUUUAGCUUAUCUUACACACCUCUCCGUUCCAGAGCAUCAUCCAGAAAGGAUGAAUAAAAACCCACAGGUCUAACCCCUUCCUUGCUCUCUUCCCUUCCCUCUUUCCACAGCCCCCAGAACCUGAAUGUCCUCUAUUAUCAUUAUAGCUAAGCCAAUGAUCAUAGGGGGAAAGUGUCUCUUCUUUAUAAUACAUUAAUUCUAGGAGCCUGGGCCUUGACAAAUUAAGCAGAGAUAUAAAAGAAUUUAGAAAUAUCAUUAUUAUGCCAGAAGUUGAAUAUUCCUUCUCCCCCAGACAGAAAGAAGCCUCAGACCAAUUAGGGAAAUCAAGGACAUAAUUUCCAUUGCCCUCAUUAGAAUUGACCAAGUGAUAUUGAAAAGUAAGGAUGUCUCAGAGUGCAGAAUCAAGGGCCAGAGGGUACAGCCAGGAACCACUCCAAAGAGCAGAAGCAAGGCCAAAUCAAGACACACUCUUCACUCCAAGAGAACCUGUAAACAUUUCUCCAUUGGGAUUUCAGAACUGUCAUGAAACAGUGGCUGCUAUGUGCCUCCUCUUAUUGAAUGGGAAUCUUUAUUGUGGUUGUUUUGUUCCUAUUCACCAUUGCACAUUGGGUAUGUAGGGGAAGAUAACAUGUCUUUUUAUUCUAAGGGCUUCAGACCAAAAGGAGAUGCAUCCAAGAAACCACUAUAGACCUGAUAUUGAUCAUAACAUCCCGGAUUUUGAACCUGAUACUAUGGUUGUAUAAGACCUUGAAGAACCUUGAAAGGAUCCUUUGAGAACCUGAUGAAAGCUAUGAGUCCUCUCUGCAGAAAAUAUACACAUGCGCAUAUGCAUAAAUCUGGACAUAUGCUUUCAAGGACCCCCUGAAAGACCAUCUGUGGACCCCUUAUGGAGCCCAUGAACUCUCAGGUGUGUUCGUCUCUAGCUGGAAGGCAUUGACAGAAUGGAGGUUCACCCAGAGUCAGCUGAAGACUUCGUUGCCUCUGACUGGAACCCUGGACUCAGUAGCCCUCUAGCAAUUGACAUUACUGUUCGAGAUGCCACCUGUGUAUGGCUGGGAGGUGAGGUCCUGUUGUAUCAAGCCCUGGUAUUUUGUUGAAGCCCUUCAGCAUUGAAUUGUGUUUUCUUAGAAAUAAGGGCCCUUGGAAUUUGGGGGUGGAGAAGCAGGGUUCUGCGUCCAGGUCUGUAUAGUUCUUUGGUAAAGUCAUGUAAUACAGCCUCUGCCAUUUCAAAUCUAACUGGGUGCUGACACUCAGGCUAAUCUACACCAUAUAUUUUUGACAUUUCACGAGUAGUGAGUUAACAAUUGGAAUAACUCUGGCUCAAAUUUUACUUAUUAAUUAAAGUUGGCAUUUAAAGAAGAUUUGUUAAUAGCAUUCAUAGAACAUUCAGAGACCCAGGCUCUGUGUUGAGCGUUCCGCAUUUCCUUUAGUCUGCACGACAAUCUCAUGAGGCAGGAAAUCUAAUUGCCUCCAUUCCACGCAUGGCACAAAUGAGGCCCAGAGAACUUUUUAAAUUCUCUGGCAAUUUACUUUCACAGGUCAAAUAACUAACAAAUAGUAGAGCUAGGAUUUGAAAGCAGGCAGAUUUCAAGACCAGAAUGUUUAAACCUUAAACUAUAGUUCAU
rnacentral:lncRNA from 10 species